rnacentral:tRNA from 1 species
AACCUUAUAGUUUAAUUCUGAACAGGUGAUUUCGGGUUACCCGGUACCAAAUAGGUUAAGGUUU